ensembl:lncRNA
CACAACCAGUUUUAUUCUGAGAGAGAAAAGGGAAACUGGAAGAGUUCCCAAAUUCAACAUCUGCAAGCGGAGAGGAUGACGAAAUGCAUUAGUCCUGAGGAGUAACUUUCUCCCAUCUUCUCGGAAAACAUCUGGGGCAUUACCCUCCCCUCCACUCAUUCCCCCACCUCCCACCCAAAGCUGACUCUUGGCUGACAGUUUAUCAGAGAUAAAUGGAAACACCUGGGAGCCAGAUAAGGCCAACUGAGUGUGACCAGCGGAGGAGCCCUCGGGGACGCAUGCCACUCAAUAUUUCUUUUUCUUCACCAGGCAGGGUGGGAGCACGAUCUAGCUUGUGACGGAUGGCAAGGCUCCCUUUCACGUUCAUUCUUUCCUUCAUUCAUUCCAAACAACCUCAAGAGGUCGGCUGGCCCAGCUUCCUGCCUGAGGUAGGUCAACACCGAAACCACCAGAACUGCUGUUCUGAGAAGCACACGUCCGGAAAUGUUACUGAUCCACAUGGUGGGUGCACGCAGGAUCCGAGUGCCGUGCCUCAGGAAACAAGCUCCCUCUCCAUCCUCCUUGCCUUCUCUUCAGCCCACCAGCAUAUAGAAGUUCCUGGGAAUGCCCAAGAUGCAGAUGUGGAGUAACCAGCCCUGGAAUCCCAGUCCCAGCUACUGUCUGCCUUAAAGUGGGAAAGACUGAUGGUUAUCCUGCAAAAUUCUUUCUCCCUUUCUGCUUUAAUAAAAGAAACUCUAAUUUUUGGCUGACCAUGUAGCCAUUCUGAGUAAAGCUACAGUUCUCAACCUCCUUUCCACCUAGGUGUACAACUACAGGAAGUGCUGUGUGCAACAUCUAGGAACUGUAUUUAAAGGGAAGGAACAUGCUCUUCUUUCUCUUUUUUCCCUCUCUGCUUCCGGAAUAAGGAUGUGAUGAUAGGAGCUUGAGCAGCCAUCUUGGAUCAUGUGGUAGAAGCCACAUGCUCAGCAAGAUAGAAGGAGAUUAGGUCCCUGAUGUUGUAGAGUGAGAUGUCAACUCAAGAUUGACACAUCUGGGUUCCUUUGACCUGAAAUAGAAAUAAACAGUUUUUAAAAAUUAUUUAAGCCACUGUUAUUUUGGGGUUUCUGCCACCUCAGCAGAAUCUAAUCCUAACUGCUUUGGCUCCUCUCUUCAGCUAAUCCCCUCAGCUCUCUCAAGAGUAAACUAAAAGAUUUAUUCCUAGAACAGUUUAUUUCCUAGAACAACCUUUCAGAAAGCCAUCUUGACUGGGAACAAGUUAGCAUCAGAAGGACCCCACUGAAGUGUCUCUCCUAAUGACCAUCUGCACCUCUGUUCAGACUCUCUCCCACCCAAGACCUUUCACAAGGAGAGCAGGAGAUGAGAGUUGGCGGGGCAAGCCUCCACACCACAGUGAUUAGCACACCAACCGACCCAGCCUGGGUGGUCUAGCCCGAGUGGCCAUGUGUUUUCCCACUCUUUGCCCCAAAGAACCAUUCCCUGAAUUUGCCAAACUGUUGGUCCUCAUGUGUUCACUUGGCUGCACUCCCAUUCGCUAUUAGUGCCUUUCCCACAUGAACCAUCCAAUUUGUUCUUUAGUGUAUACGCACCAUCUAUUCUGACAGGCGUCAGUGUGAUAUGGUUCAGAUUCAGCUUCGCAAACUAACACAGAUAUUCCAAUCCACUACCAUGGCUCUGCCAGUCUACUCCAUGUUUAAAUCCUUAGUGCCAAGGCUAGUCAUUGAAACAAAGGCCAAACUUGGGCUAUGUCACCCACAGAUACUCCCUGAGCUGGGGGAGCUCUAGGCCAAUGAUCGUUGGCUAAAAUUUGGUUCUCUGGGAGAAACUAAGGUAUGAUCAUGGGUGGGCAAUCCAAUGGGUGUACUUAAAGUUGUGAUGAAUCUUUUUUCAUCUCUGUUUAUAAGAUACGUGAAGAAUAGAGGUUAAUUAUUUGUAUUUCCUGAGGGCAAAACUCUGUGUAUACACAAGUGCUUGAUUGUAAGCCUUCCUUUUUGUCCACUCCUUUGUUGUAGCAGUUCUCCAAUGCCUGGAAUUAGAUGGAGCUCAGGCACACACUUGUCCUCUGUCAUCCGACAGCAUGGUGCGUGAGGGGCCUCUGCAGCUCCCGCAGUUCCUGGCUUAGUGCAGCAGUCUGGACAGCUUACUUCAAGAAGAAAGAACAACACACGCCCAAUUACUCUAAGAAUAUACUUCAGAUACACCUGUUUGACUUCCCAAGGCC